UGGGGAAUAUUGCACAAUGGGCGCAAGCCUGAUGCAGCCAUGCCGCGUGUGUGAAGAAGGCCUUCGGGUUGUAAAGCACUUUCAGCGGGGAGGAAGGCGUUAAGGUUAAUAACCUUGGCGAUUGACGUUACCCGCAGAAGAAGCACCGGCUAACUCCGUGCCAGCAGCCGCGGUAAUACGGAGGGUGCAAGCGUUAAUCGGAAUUACUGGGCGUAAAGCGCACGCAGGCGGUCUGUCAAGUCGGAUGUGAAAUCCCCGGGCUCAACCUGGGAACUGCAUUCGAAACUGGCAGGCUAGAGUAUUGUAGAGGGGGGUAGAAUUCCAGGUGUAGCGGUGAAAUGCGUAGAGAGCUGGAGGAAUACCGGUGGCGAAGGCGGCCCCCUGGACAAAGACUGACGCUCAGGUGCGAAAGCGUGGGGAGCAAACAGG
rnacentral:rRNA from 1 species